rnacentral:rRNA from 1 species
UACAGAGGUCUCAAGCGUUGUUCGGAUUCAUUGGGCGUAAAGGGUGCGUAGGCGGCGCGGUAAGUCGGGUGUGAAAUCUCGGAGCUUAACUCCGAAACUGCAUUCGAUACUGCCGUGCUUGAGGACUGGAGAGGAGACUGGAAUUUACGGUGUAGCGGUGAAAUGCGCAGAUAUCAGGAGGAACACCGGUGGCGAAGGCGGUUCUCUGGGCAUGUCCUGACGCUGAGGAGCGAAAGUGUGGGGAGCGAACAGG